rnacentral:rRNA from 1 species
GACGAACGCUGGCGGCGUGCUUAACACAUGCAAGUCGAACGGAAAGGCCCUGCUUUUGUGGGGUGCUCGAGUGGCGAACGGGUGAGUAACACGUGAGUAACCUGCCCUUGACUUUGGGAUAACUUCAGGAAACUGGGGCUAAUACCGGAUAGGAGCUCCUGCUGCAUGGUGGGGGUUGGAAAGUUUCGGCGGGUGGGGAUGGACUCGCGGCUUAUCAGCUUGUUGGUGGGGUAGUGGCUUACCCAGGCCUUGACGGGUAGCCGGCCUGAGAGGGUGGACGGCCACAUUGGGACUGAGAUACGGCCCAGACUCCUACGGGAGGCAGCAGUGGGGAAUAUUGCACAAUGGGCGGAAGCCUGAUGCAGCAACGCCGCGUGCGGGAUGACGGCCUUCGGGUUGUAAACCGCUUUCGCCUGUGACGAAGCGUGAGUGACGGUAAUGGGUAAAGAAGCACCGGCUAACUACGUG